rnacentral:rRNA from 1 species
GAUGAACGCUGGCGGCGUGCCUAAUACAUGCAAGUCGAACGAACAGACGAGGAGCUUGCUCCUCUGACGUUAGCGGCGGACGGGUGAGUAACACGUGGAUAACCUACCUAUAAGACUGGGAUAACUUCGGGAAACCGGAGCUAAUACCGGAUAAUAUAUUGAACCGCAUGGUUCAAUAGUGAAAGACGGUUUUGCUGUCACCUAUAGAUGGAUCCGCGCCGCAUUAGCUAGUUGGUAAGGUAACGGCUUACCAAGGCAACGAUGCGUAGCCGACCUGAGAGGGUGAUCGGCCACACUGGAACUGAGACACGGUCCAGACUCCUACGGGAGGCAGCAGUAGGGAAUCUUCCGCAAUGGGCGAAAGCUUGACGGAGCAACGCCGCGUGAGUGAUGAAGGUCUUCGGAUCGUAAAACUCUGUUAUUAGGGAAGAACAAAUGUGUAAGUAACUAUGCACGUCUUGACGGUACCUAAUCAGAAAGCCACGGCUAACUACGUG